rnacentral:lncRNA from 1 species
AUAUAUAAAGUCCGGCUAUGGUGCUUGUAAAAACACCAAGCACUUGGUGCUUGUGAAUUUUUUACCGUUAGAUCUACGCCUUUAAUUAAUCAUUUUCACCCGUUAGAUUGUACUAUUCAACCAACUAACCACUCAACCCUAGGGGGCCCACAUCAUCCUAACCGCACAUUCCUUAAUUCAAGAACCGAAAACUUACAAGCACUAAUGACUUGGUACUUUUAAAAGUAUAGGAGCUCAAUUCUAUAUAUAUAUAUAUA